rnacentral:lncRNA from 1 species
AAGUGGGCACAGGGACCCAGCUCUAUAUUUCCAUCCCAUGCUGUCCCAAGACUCACAACAAGUUCCUGUGACCUCUCAAACUAUGCGAGGGGCCGGCAAACACGAACAGAGGGGUCUGGUCUUCCUAAGACACCACCAACACUGUGAGAAGGGGCCCAGAGGAGCGGCCACACCAUUCCCGGAGCUUGCCGAGAGACUCCGACACUGGUGUCAGUGGGAAUUCUGAAGCUCCCGGCACAUGAGCUCAUGCGUGGCCGAGUGCCCAGCCCUGUGCUUCACGGCUUUGGAAUGUGUUUUCUAGGCUGGCCUGCCUUGCUCCCCCCAUCUCACCACAGCAAGGGCUGCUGUCUGCUCUCGGCUCUUCAAAGCCAGGCAAAUUCCAGAAAGGGUAUUAAUUUGCACUGGUGUGCGAUGCUGUCCCAGGCAAAAUUCUCCCUGAGGUCUCUUGCAAGCAGCGAAUAUGACCAGAAGGACACAGGCUGAGAAGAGGGGAUGGCCCUUCUGGCCCUGGCUCGGCACUGGCUCAGAGAGAGACAGGACCAUUGCCUCUCCCCAGUCUCCAGCCCUUGUCACUUCACCUGGCCCACAGUCAACCCCAGGAAAUGAGCAAGCGAAUGGAGGGCUGGAUGGAGGACUAUUAUCACCUCUCCAAGGGACCUCUGGGUCGUGUCCCUGCCACCCAGCUGUAUCUAAGCACUGGUAUCACGGCAGCGCCACUGGUCCUUUUUGGAUGAAUGCAGUCUAUGUAAUAGAUCGCACACACAGAGAGCACACCUCCCUCUGUCUGCUACCACUGAAGCACUCAACGAUCAGAUCACACCGUGUGUGAUGCCCUCCCCUCCCCCGUGGGGUGCCGAGGGAGAGCAGAGUUGGUUUUGAGAUGACCUUUUCCGUCUUCCCUUAGUAGUCUAUGAGAAUUUUAAGGCCAGAGGAUGGUCAUGGAGAGUGUGCAGAGAGCGAAGGGGAGGCCUGUCUUUCCACAAGAACUCUGAGCUCUUCCCUCCCCAAACAUCAGAAAGAGAUGGAAGAGGCUGCUUCUAACACCCACACCUUUCACAUCUCUGUUCAAUGGCCCCAGUGUUCUCCUAUAGCCCAGCAGUGGCCUCUGCCCUUACUGCCUCAGUCUCCCAACUUGGGGGCAGAGAUCAACCCAGAAGGUAAAGAAGACACAACAUCUUUACAUGGCCAGCAGUACUCCAGUCUCCAAGAUGUGUCCUGGCCUCCUGUCCCAUUAGGAGGACAAUGAGGGGUGGGGAGGGAUGGUGAGCUUGCUAUUCAAGCAGCGGCCCAUCCCACCCUUCAACCUCACCAGAGAUGAUGCAAGAUCUUCAAAGCCGGGAAGCUGGUGUCUGCCAGGGGACGAGGACACUGGGUAUCUUGCAAACCCAGAGGCAGGCUAGGUCAGCAACUGCUUACCUCUCCAGUGGAACCAGGGGUCAGCAGGGAGCCACCUACCCUGUUUGCCUGACCCUCGGGCUGCUGACAACCCUGUCAGGACGCUGCACUUGCCCCUGGCUCUGCACAGAAAAGGGUCGGGGGAGGGGGCACCGAGGGGUGGGGGGCGCCACAGGGACCAUACCCGCACCGCGAAACUUUACGCUGUAAAGUUAAUCCACUGAAGCGUAGCCCAAAAUAAGCGCACUGCCUAAUGUGCCGGGAACUGCCGGUCGCAAGGCCAGACUGCAAGCGGAUGUCUGCGCAUCUCCGCCCGCCCGCCCGCCCGGAGCCUGCAUUUAGCGCCAGCGAGGGAGUCUGGGCUGGAGCGCUGCUUUCACACCGACUCGAGCCGCGAGUUUAUGGAUCUUGAUUGCACCCAGCAGGGAAUCCUUUUUAGUGAUGAGAGAAAAAAUAUUCAACAACCU